CUCGCCGUUGAGCUUUAUCGUCGCGAACUGGCGAGCUAAGCGUAAAGUGUCGCGACCCCUUCCCACUUCAAUAAUUAUCACUUCUGGAAACACAAGCUGAGAGAGAAGUGUUACAAGAGGGUUCGAGAGGACAGAACGCGCUUGCUUUGGAAAUUAAGGUUGCCAUCUUCUCCCAAGCAUAAUAAUAAUAAGGUUAAGAUUCCUCGCUUGGUUUGGAUGCAUUCUGAUGAGAUGGAGGAUAUUCAAGAGGCACAUGCUGGGCAAAUAGUUGUUGUAUUUGGUGUGGAUUGUGCAUCAGGUCCCACUUAUCCCUUUGCACUUGUGUACACAAUAAUUUAUGUUUCUAUAUUGUUUUCCAUAAUUGUCUGAAUAGAAUGGGGGUCGAAGUGAGAAGUGAGGAGCUAGUGCAAGUUGAAGUUUCUAAAAGUGAGAGGAAAAUAUCAAAAUGGACAUUCAA